AUGUACUCUAGUGGAUUGAGUACAUUUGAAAACAUCACCAAACCCUUUACCCUACACAGUGUUCUUGGAAAAGCCAAGAAACAUAGCUCCAAAGUCAUGAACUGGAAAGUGAAAGUGAUGCACCCUACUCUGCACCUGGCUCUGGUGAAGGGGGCAUGUGAACUGUACAAAAGCAGCAUGGACACGCCCAGCAGGGCACCUGGAAGGGGGCAGCCCUCAGCCAGUGCUAGCUCUCCCCGCUCCUCUUACUGUUCCACCUGGCUUCCCCCCACCCCAGUCCCCAGAACUGAUUCCUGGCCCAACUUGAAAGGCCUCUCAGACUGAGCGAAAGCAAUCUUCUGCCCCUAGUGCAUUGACAUCAAGACCCCAUGGGUACCUCCUUCCUGGCCAGACAUCGCCCUCUGAGCCCAGUGAGGGUGGAGCUCACCAUCCUCAUCAAGAUCUCCCAACUCCACAAACCACAGUUGUCAGAACACACACCCGAGGAAGUGGUCGGGAAGCAACCAGUUGUCGGAAUAAUUUACUGUCCUUGGAAGUUGGCCAACUAGAUGCUGGCCGUGCAGACGCUGGGAAAAUAUUUAUGUGGGUCCUGAUGGAGGCUUGGCCAGGAAAGACUGCCUGCUGUCAUCUUUUCUUCCUGCUGAUAAGGCAAAGCUACACAUGUGAGACAGCUCUUAGAAGGCCUGGCAUCUGAUAAGAGUGAGGUGAAAGGCUGCAGCCUUCCGCUCCAAUGCUGUCUGCUACCACGGAGUUUCACCCUUCCCCGGCCCUCUGGUCCUCCAUCUGUAACACCAUGCAGUAGACCAGAUGACCUCAAGGGCUCUGUGAUCCUGUGAGAUUGUGACUCAGACAGAGGCGAAUGAAUUUUCCAGAUCUGCCAUCAUGAUGCCAUUGGUUCAUCCCAGAGCUAUUUUUCUUGGCACCCUAGAAACGUUCCUGAAAUUCCAGCAUCCUAGGAUUUCUCUUUCCACUGAUCCAGUUUCUGUAACCAGAUGAGAGAACUCCAUCUGGAGGAGGAAACCUUGAGCUUAAAAUAAAAGGGUGAAAUGGAAGAGGGGAAAUUGAGUU
rnacentral:lncRNA from 1 species